rnacentral:rRNA from 1 species
AGCGAACGCUGGCGGCAGGCUUAACACAUGCAAGUCGAGCGGGCAUCCUUGUGGUGUCAGCGGCAGACGGGUGAGUAACGCGUGGGAACGUGCCCUUCGGUUCGGAAUAACUCAGGGAAACUUGAGCUAAUACCGGAUACGUGCGAGAGCAGAAAGGUUUAUCUGCCGAAGGAUCGGCCCGCGUCUGAUUAGCUAGUUGGUGAGGUUAUGGCUCACCAAGGCGACGAUCAGUAGCUGGUCUGAGAGGAUGAACAGCCACACUGGGACUGAGACACGGCCCAGACUCCUACGGGAGGCAGCAGUGGGGAAUAUUGGACAAUGGGGGCAACCCUGAUCCAGCCAUGCCGCGUGAGUGAUGACGGCCUUAGGGUUGUAAAGCUCUUUUCUCCGGGACGAUAAUGACGGUACCGGAGGAAUAAGCCCCGGCUAACUUCGUG